AUGCUCGGCAGCGUUCAUUUCCAUAUUUUGAAAAGCCGUUUCCUGUUUUACAGCCGGGCAGUAAAAUCAGCUGCAGAGAGGAGGUUCCCAUUACCCAGAAUGCCCGGGGUUGGUCUCAGGGAUCUGGAGAUGAAUCCACAGAUUUAUCAGACUGGAAAGGAUCCAGCGGAGAGUUAACGCCGUCUUUCAUCUGCUGCCAAACGUGUGAGGAGAGAGCGGUGGAGACGGCGAGCGCUGCAGUCUUCCCUCUGAUAUGAGUCUGAUAUAUGAGUCUGAUAUAUGAGUCUGAUGUGAGUCUGAUGUGAGUCUGAUAUAUGAGUCUGAUAUAUGAGUCUGAUAUAUGAGUCUGAUAUAUGAGUCUGAUAUAUGAGUCUGAUAUAUGAGUCUGAUGUGAGUCUGAUUUGAUAUGAGUCUGAUAUUUGUGAGUCUGAUGUGAGUCUGAUGUGAGUCUGAUUGUGUAUGAGUCUGAUAUAUGAGUCUGAUAUAUGAGUCUGAUAUAUGUGUCUGAUAUAUGAGUCUGAUGUGAGUCUGAUAUGUGAGUCUGAUGUGAGUCUGAUGUGAGUCUGAUAUAUGAGUCUGAUAUAUGAGUCUGAUGUGAGUCUGAUAUAUGAGUCUGAUGUGAGUCUGAUAUGAGUCUGAUGUGAGUCUGAUAUGAGUCUGAUAUGAGUCUGAUAUGAGUCUGAUAUAUGUGUCUGAUAUAUGAGUCUGAUGUGAGUCUGAUAUGUGAGUCUGAUGUGAGUCUGAUAUAUGAGUCUGAUAUGAGUCUGAUAUGAGUCUGAUAUAUGAGUCUGAUGUGAGUCUGAUAUAUGAGUCUGAUAUGAGUCUGAUAUGAGUCUGAUGUGAGUCUGAUAUGUGAGUCUGAUAUAUGAGUCUGAUGAUGUGAGUCUGUCUGAUAUGUGAGUCUGAUAUGAGUCUGAUAUGAGUCUGAUAUUUGAGUCUGAUGUGAGUCUGAUAUAUGAGUCUUUGAUAUGAGUCUGAUAUAUGAGUCUGAUAUGAGUCUGAUAUGAGUCUGAUAUAUGAGUCUAUAUGAGUCUGAUUGAGUCUGAUAUAUGAGUCUGAUGUGAGUCUGAUAUAUGAGUUGAUUGAGUCUGAUAUGAGUCUGAUAUAUAUGAGUUUGAGUCUGAUAUAUGAGUCUGAUAUGAGUCUGUAUAUGAGUCUGAUAUGAGUCUGAUAUGAGUCUGAUAUGAGUCUGUUGAGUCUGAUAUGUGAGUCUGAUAUGAUGAGUCUGAUAUAUGAGUCUGAUAUGAGUCUGAUAUGAGUCUGAUAUAUGAGUCUGAUAUAUGAGUCUGAUAUGAGUCUGAUAUGUGAGUCUGAUAUAUGAGUCUGAUGUGAGUCUGAUAUAUGAGUCUGAUGUGAGUCUGAUAUAUGAGUCUGAUAUAUGAGUCUGAUAUGAGUCUGAUAUGAGUCUGAUAUAUGAGUCUGAUUGAGUCUGAUAUGAGUCUGAUAUAUGAGUCUGAUAUGAGUCUGAUAUGAGUCUGAUAUGAGUCUGAUAUAUGAGUCUGAUAUAUGAGUCUGAUAUGAGUCUGAUAUAUGAGUCUGAUGUGAGUCUGAUAUAUGAGUCUGAUAUGAGUCUGAUAUAUGAGUCUGAUAUAUGAGUCUGAUAUAUGAGUCUGAUAUGAGUCUGAUAUAUGAGUCUGAUGAUAUGAGUCUGAUAUAUGAGUCUGAUAUAUGAGUCUGAUAUGAGUCUGAUGUGAGUCUGAUAUGAGUCUGAUAUAUGAGUCUGAUAUAUGAGUCUGAUAUAUGAGUCUGAUGUGAGUCUGAUAUGAGUCUGAUAUAUGAGUCUGAUAUAUGAGUCUGAUAUGAGUCUGAUAUGAGUCUGAUAUGAGUCUGAUGUGAGUCUGAUAUAUGAGUCUGAUGUGAGUCUGAUGUGAGUCUGAUAUAUGAGUCAGACAGAAACAGUCAGUAACAGACAGAAACAGACAGAAAGAAACAGACCGAAACAGCCAGUAACAGCCAGAAACAGAUAGAAACAGUUAUAAACAGACAGAAACAGAUAUAAACAGAUAUAAACAGUCAGAAACAGUUAUAAACAGACAGAAACAGAUAUAAACAGUCAGAAACAGUUAUAAACAGACAGAAACAGAUAUAAACAGAUAUAAACAGUCAGAAACAGUUAUAAACAGAUAUAAACAGUCAGAAACAGUCAGAAACAGACAGAAACAGAUAGAAACAGUUAUAAACAGACAGAAACAGAUAUAAACAGAUAUAAACAGUCAGAAACAGUUAUAAACAGACAGAAACAGAUAUAAACAGUCAGAAACAGUUAUAAACAGACAGAAACAGAUAUAAACAGAUAUAAACAGUCAGAAACAGUUAUAAACAGAUAUAAACAGAUAUAAACAGUCAGAAACAGUUAUAAACAGAUAGAAACAGAUAUAAACAGUCAGAAACAGUUAUAAACAGACAGAAACAGAUAGAAACAGUUAUAAACAGACAGAAACAGAUAUAAACAGACAGAAACAGUCAGUAACAGAUAGAAACAGACAGAAACAGUCAGAAACAGACAGAAACAGAUAGAAACAGUUAUAAACAGACAGAAACAGAUAUAAACAGAUAUAAACAGUCAGAAACAGUUAUAAACAGACAGAAACAGAUAGAAACAGUUAUAAACAGACAGAAACAGAUAUAAACAGAUAUAAACAGUCAGAAACAGUUAUAAACAGACAGAAACAGAUAGAAACAGUUAUAAACAGACAGAAACAGAUAUAAACAGACAGAAACAGUCAGUAACAGAUAGAAACAGACAGAAACAGUCAGAAACAGAUAGAAACAGUUAUAAACAGACAGAAACAGAUAUAAACAGUCAGAAACAGUUAUAAACAGACAGAAACAGAUAGAAACAGUUAUAAACAGACAGAAACAGUCAGUAACAGAUAGAAACAGACAGAAACAGUCAGAAACAGACAGAAACAGGUAGAAACAGUUAUAAACAGACAGAAACAGAUAUAAACAGUCAGAAACAGUUAUAAACAGACAGAAACAGAUAUAAACAGUCAGAAACAGUUAUAAACAGACAGAAACAGAUAUAAACAGUCAGAAACAGAUAGAAACAGACAGAAACAGUCAGUAACAGAUAGAAACAGAAGAAACAGUGAACUGCAGCCUCCCAGCAGGGCACACGGCACACACACACACACACUCACACACACACACACACACACACACACACACACACACACACACACACACACACACACUCAGCAGGACUUCAGCUCUCCAUCUGCUGUCUGAACAACUCCAUCAAUUAACAAGUCAAUGAACACAAACGGCUCCAUUAUCAUCCUCCUCCUCUUCCUCCUCCUCUUUCUCCUCCUCUUCUUCCUCCUCCUCCUCUCUUCCUCCUCCUCUCUUCCUCCUCCUCCUCUUCAUCGUGAUAUUACAGACAUUAGAGGGUAACUGCAGAUGAGUCAGGUUGUGGAUAGUGUCACUCUAAUCUCAAUCACAUCCCCCGCCUCCUGAGGCCUGAGCAGGGGUUAUGGCGGGGUCAGCCACAGGGUGCCAGGAGCCGCUAGUUAACUGAUGUAAAUUAGAUAAUCAUACGUUAGCUAGGUUAAGUGCUAGUUACAUCAGUUACAUCAGAAAGCUAUUGCAUUUAUUAAGUUGUGCUGUUGUACAGUUAUCACUGAGGUCCGGCUUCACCAGAUAAAACCUGUUUUGUUUUUUGUGUUGACGUGGUUGUUUGUUGACAUUAGCAGACUCCCUAUCUAAGCUAACAUUAGUGCUGCACAAUGU
ensembl:lncRNA